rnacentral:rRNA from 1 species
CCUACGGGCGGCAGCAGUGGGGAAUAUUGCACAAUGGGGGAAACCCUGAUGCAGCGACGCCGCGUGAGUGAAGAAGUAUUUAGGUAUGUAAAGCUCUAUCAGCAGGGAAGAAAAUGACGGUACCUGAUUAAGAAGCCCCGGCUACCUACGUGCCAGCAGCCGCGGUAAUACGUAGGGGGCAAGCGUUAUCCGGAUUUACUGGGGGUAAAGGGAGCGUAGACGGCAGCACAAGUCUGGAGUGAAAUGCCGGGGAUUAACCCCGGAACCGCCUUUGAAACUGUGCAACUAGAGUGCAGGAGAGGUACGUGGAAUUCGUAGUGUAGCGGUGAAAUGCGUAGAUAUUAGGAGGAACACCGGUGGCGAAGGCGGCUUACUGGACUGUAACUGACGUUGAGGCUCGAAAGCGUGGGGAGCGAACAGGAGUAGAUACCCUUGUAGUC